rnacentral:rRNA from 1 species
AGCUCCAAUAGCGUAUAUUAAAGUUGUUGCAGUUAAAACGCUCGUAGUCGGAUUUCGGGGCGGGCCGACCGGUCUGCCGAUGGGUAUGUACUGGCCGGCGCGUCCUUCCUUCCGGAAAUCGCGCCUUCUCUUGACUGAGCGGGUGCGGGAGACGGAUCGUUUACUUUGAAAAAAUCAGAGUGUUUCAAGCAGGCAGCUCGCUCUUGCAUGGAUUAGCAUGGGAUAAUGAAAUAGGACUUUGGUGUCUAUUUUGUUGGUUUCAAACACCGAAGUAAUGAUGAACAGGGACAGUCGGGGGCACUCGUAUUCCGCCGAGAGAGGUGAAAUUCUCAGACCAGCGGAAGACGAACCACUGCGAAAGCAUUUGCCAGGGAUGUUUUCA